GUGGGGAAUAUUGGACAAUGGGCGAAAGCCUGAUCCAGCCAUGCCGCGUGUGUGAAGAAGGUCUUCGGAUUGUAAAGCACUUUAAGUUGGGAGGAAGGGCAGUAAGUUAAUACCUUGCUGUUUUGACGUUACCGACAGAAUAAGCACCGGCUAACUUCGUGCCAGCAGCCGCGGUAAUACGAAGGGUGCAAGCGUUAAUCGGAAUUACUGGGCGUAAAGCGCGCGUAGGUGGUUUUGUAAGUUGGAGGUGAAAUCCCCGGGCUCAAACUGGGAACUGCUUUAAAAACUGCUGAGCUAGAGUACGGUAGAGGGUGGUGGAAUUUCCUGUGUAGCGGUGAAAUGCGUAGAUAUAGGAAGGAACACCAGUGGCGAAGGCGACCACCUGGACUGAUACUGACACUGAGGUGCGAAAGCGUGGGGAGCAAACAGGAUUAGAAACCCGGGUAGUCC
rnacentral:rRNA from 1 species